rnacentral:rRNA from 1 species
CCGGUUGAUCCCGCCGGACCCGACCGCUAUCGGGGUGGGGCUAAGCCAUGGAAGUCGCACGCUCCGCAAGUGCGGGGCGUGGCGGACGGCUGAGUAACACGUGGCUAACCUACCCUCGGGACGGGGAUAGUCCCGGGAAACUGGGACUAAUCCCCGAUAGGCGGAGAGGCCUGGAAUGGUCCUCCGCCGAAAGGGCUAGACCGCUGUGAAGGUCUAGCCGCCCGAGGAUGGGGCUGCGGCCCAUCAUGGUUGUUGGCGGGGUAACGGCCCGCCAAGCCGAUAACGGGUAGGGGCCGUGAGAGCGGGAGCCCCCAGAUGGGCACUGAGACAAGGGCCCAGGCCCUACGGGGUGCACCAGGCGCGAAACCUCCGCAAUGCGGGAAACCGUGACGGGGUCACCCCGAGUGCCCCGAAGAGGGGCUUUUCCCCGCUGUAGGAAGGCGGGGGAAUAGGCGGGGGGCAAGUCUGGUGUCAGCCGCCGCGGUAAUACCAGCAAUC